rnacentral:rRNA from 1 species
UACGGGGGGGGCAAGCGUUGUUCGGAAUUACUGGGCGUAAAGGGCUCGUAGGCGGCCAACUAAGUCAGACGUGAAAUCCCUCGGCUUAACCGGGGAACUGCGUCUGAUACUGGAUGGCUUGAGUUUGGGAGAGGGAUGCGGAAUUCCAGGUGUAGCGGUGAAAUGCGUAGAUAUUCGGAAGAACACCAGUGGCGAAGGCGACUCACUGGACAUGUAUUGACGCUGAGGUACGAAAGCGUGGGGAGCAAACAGG